rnacentral:rRNA from 1 species
UACGUAGGGUGCAAGCGUUAUCCGGAAUUAUUGGGCGUAAAGAGCUCGUAGGCGGUCUGUCGCGUCAGCUGUGAAAACCUGGGGCUCAACCCCGGGCCUGCAGCCGAUACGGGCAGAACUAGAAUUCGGUAGGGGAGACUGGAAUUCCUGGUGUAGCGGUGGAAAUGACGCAGAUAUCAGGAGGAACACCGGUGGCGAAGGCGG